rnacentral:rRNA from 1 species
UACACUCCUGCGGGAGGCAGCAGUGGGGAAUUUUGGACAAUGGGCGAAAGCCUGAUCCAGCAAUGCCGCGUGUGUGAAGAAGGCCUUCGGGUUGUAAAGCACUUUUGUCCGGAAAGAAAUCCUUGGCUCUAAUACAGUCGAGGGAUGACGGUACCGGAAGAAUAAGCACCGGCUAACUACGUGCCAGCAGCCGCGGUAAUACGUAGGGUGCGAGCGUUAAUCGGAAUUACUGGGCGUAAAGCGUGCGCAGGCGGUUUGCUAAGACCGAUGUGAAAUCCCCGGGCUCAACCUGGGAACUGCAUUGGUGACUGGCAGGCUAGAGUAUGGCAGAGGGGGGUAGAAUUCCACGUGUAGCAGUGAAAUGCGUAGAGAUGUGGAGGAAUACCGAUGGCGAAGGCAGCCCCCUGGGCCAAUACUGACGCUCAUGCACGAAAGCGUGGGGAGCAAACAGGAUUAGAUACCCCUGUAGUCCCA